UACGUAGGGGGCAAGCGUUGUCCGGAUUUAUUGGGCGUAAAGAGCGUGUAGGCGGCUAUACAGGUCCGUUGUGAAAACUCGAGGCUCAACCUCGAGACGCCGAUGGAAACCGUAUGGCUAGAGUCCGGAAGAGGAGAGCGGAAUUCCUGGUGUAGCGGUGAAAUGCGCAGAUAUCAGGAGGAACACCAAUGGCGAAGGCAGCUCGCUGGAACGGUACUGACGCUGAGGCGCGAAAGCGUGGGGAGCAAACAGG
rnacentral:rRNA from 1 species